ACAUGUUUUAUUUUUCACUUUUGAAGUUCGACGCCAUGGGCUGGUUUCAGUGACUGCCGGUGAGGCAGUUACCUAUCUUGUUCCACAAACUCGUACUUUUCUCAUCUCGCUGUCUCCAUGUGGUCCCUACGGGAUGAAUCUUGCCGAGGACCUAAGUGUUGGAAUGUGGUUUAUUACAGUAAGAAAUAUACAGCAAGAAAAAUACAGCAAAACUAACUUUUCCCAUUGUUGUGUAUCUACUUCAUCACAACCAGUUUUAGCAACUUAGUUUCGUUUGAAUUAAAUGGAUGUUUAAUUAUUAAGAGUAAUCCUUUUCCUUAUAAGGACAACAACAAAAUUGUUGGCGUUGGAUGCUACGAUGAAAUUCAAGACUGGCUGAAAAAAGAAAAAAACUGCUGCUCUCCCGAGAUUCUUCAGAACUUCAGUAUCCAUUUUUUUUCCUCCACCCCAUCGGGGGCGGUGCCCCUGAUCGGGUGGAGGGGCUCCUUAGGACUUGCAUAGUAGGCGUGUUGGCCUACUGUGCGAGUCCUUGGAGUUUUUUUAUUUUUGUUUUCCGUUGCAGAUGACCGUGAGCUUUAACUUUACUAUUACUCGCAAUUUUUAAAAUUUAUAAUCUAGUAAUUUCAGUAGAUUAGCGUCGCAUUUAAUGUUUUGUACAUCUUCAAUGGUUUGUUUAAAUCUGAUGGUUGUAUAAAACUGUUUUGAGUUCUUGUCUUAACAGUUAACUUGCAUUAGUAAGCCAUAUAUUUAGUGUUUUUAUGGUUGAAUUUAUUGGCUUGACCCACUCUGGCUUUAGUUACUUCGCGCCCUAAUACUGUGAUUUCAAAAGCAAUUUUUUGGAAUAUAUUAGUUUGGUCAGUUCUUCAUAUGUAACUAAGUUUUCGGUUUAGGUCAGUUUGAUCUUUAUGGAAAACUCUAGGACGAUUACUUCUGGUUUAGAGUAUUAGUUUUCAGUUCCCAUUCCAUUUUAGUUUUGGAUCAUGAACUCUUAUUAAAAUCUUAAAAUCCAUGUUUAUAUAUAACUUUUAGAUAUUUGGUUGAUGUUAGUAUUUUGAAGAAUGUUUGAUGUUUAUGCAUUUUGUAAUUCGAAAAGAUUUUGCACGAUUAAGGUUUGCUUUUAAUUUAGUUUUAUCCAAAGUUUUUCAUGUUGCCUUUCAUGACUUCCAGGUGACCUUCUUGCUCUGAGGGGUUUAGAAUGGUGAACUCGAGGAUUUGAGUAAUUGUGUGAUUAGUUCGUAGACUGCUCCUUUUUCCAUCUGUUACAAAAGCGAGGCUUUCCUAAUUUCCUAAUUUUAGUGUUGUAGUGUGAUAAUAAAUUCUGUAACCGUAGAUUAAUGAUUGAGAUUCCAAUGUGUGCACCAUCCUGUAAUU